GGGGAGGGGAGGGGAGUACCACCCCCAGGAAACCGCUCCUCCAGUGCAGGGCCCCCACCUGCCUGGCGGAGGAGCGUUUGUCUGUAAAAUCCGUGUCAAGGGACAGUUCAUCCCUGUUAGACUAGUAGGUCGGGAGAGGCCUGUCAAGAAUAAGGAGCCAGGGUCAGACUUAUAUUUUAAAAACACUUUCUUAGUUAAUUUGGCCUCUUACACUUGGAAAAAAUGACUGGUGCCUUCCAAGGGAAUGACUCUAUGGUUUGAAUCCAUCAAGCUCCGAGAGCACCAGCUAUUUCUGAGUCUGGAAGCGGUGGAGGGACCACCAGCAAGAAGAGGUCAGCAAAACAGGCCUCACUGAGGUGAGUUUCCUGAACAGAACUAUAUUGCUAGGCACCAUGACUGAUGACAUUUCAAGAAGCUUUGUGCAUUAUUUCUAACAACGGGUAGAACCAGGUUGAGAAAGAUGGAAAAACAGCCUGAAAAUAUCUGAACCUACCUGAAUUUCCAGCUGGAAGUGCCCUCGUGUCCAGCGGCGGCUGCUGUGAUGUCCUUACCAUCAGUCCUGCCAGAGCUGGCUGCCUGGAAUGGUCCUUGGUUUCUAUAGAAAUGAUUAAUUUCCCCGAGGGGCUAGGAGUCCCCUUCUGUUUAAGCCUCCGUCACUUUCCUGCUGGGAAGUGGUGCUUCCGGAGAGAGCGAUGUGCAUUUUCAUGCUUUUAUUAAAAAUUACUCUUCCUUUAAAA